rnacentral:lncRNA from 12 species
AGGCGCUCGGGCCUGAGGACCGUGCACUGGGCGCCGCCCGCUCAGGCGUCAAGGUGGGCCCGGCCCCGAGAGCCAGGCCGCAGCUCAGGACCAGUUCUGUGCACUGCGUGCAGGUCGGCUUUGCCCGUCUCCUCUGUGAGUCUGGAAUCUCCUGCAGGGAGCCUGAUGGGGGCCGCGAUCCCAGGACCCGGGAUCAUGACCUGGGCAGAAGGCAGAGGCUCAACCACGGAGCCACCCAGGUGCCCCUUGAGGUCAGUAUUGGAGUCAGGAGAAAGGGCACGAAGAAGGUGAACGGGCAUCAGGAGUAGGAGCUGGUCAGCGGGCGGGGUCAGAACCCCUGGGUGUGGGGGCCUGGUGAUGGGGAAGGGGCAAAGAGCAACCAAGAGUUGAAGUCAGGAGUCCAGGAGAUCAGAAUUGGGUUGUUGAUCGGAUAGCAGGAAUCUUCUCCGAGGAGCAUGAGGAAGCACCAUGGCUGAGGCCUAGCGUGUGACCUGCUGACUUCCAGCAAGGUCUUACACAUGAGGACGGCAAAUAGGUGAUGACGUCUUACAUCUUGCUUGCCGAUCCCGACUGAAUGGUGAUGGCCAUGUGAUGUGCGGUGUUCAGGAGG